UUCGACUCGAGCGAAGCGAGAGAACGUUGCCGCAGGCAACGGCCCGAAG
rnacentral:sRNA from 1 species